rnacentral:tRNA from 1 species
ACCUGGUUGGCUGAGUAGGUGGAGCGUGGGACCCUUGAUCUUGGGGUUGUGGGUUUGAGCCCCACAUUGGGCA